rnacentral:rRNA from 1 species
CAUGCAGUCGAGCGGAACGAGUUAUCUGAACCUUCGGGGAACGAUAACGGCGUCGAGCGGCGGACGGGUGAGUAAUGCCUAGGAAAUUGCCCUGAUGUGGGGGAUAACCAUUGGAAACGAUGGCUAAUACCGCAUAAUACCUACGGGUCAAAGAGGGGGACCUUCGGGCCUCUCGCGUCAGGAUAUGCCUAGGUGGGAUUAGCUAGUUGGUGAGGUAAUGGCUCACCAAGGCGACGAUCCCUAGCUGGUCUGAGAGGAUGAUCAGCCACACUGGAACUGAGACACGGUCCAGACUCCUACGGGAGGCAGCAGUGGGGAAUAUUGCACAAUGGGCGCAAGCCUGAUGCAGCCAUGCCGCGUGUGUGAAGAAGGCCUUCGGGUUGUAAAGCACUUUCAGUCGUGAGGAAGGURGUGUAGUUAAUAGCUGCAUCAUUUGACGUUAGCGACAGAAGAAGCACCGGCUAACUCCGUGCCAGCAGCCGCGGUAAUACGGAGGGUGCGAGCGUUAAUCGGAAUUACUGGGCGUAAAGCGCAUGCAGGUGGUUUGUUAAGUCAGAUGUGAAAGCCCGGGGCUCAACCUCGGAAUAGCAUUUGAAACUGGCAGACUAGAGUACUGUAGAGGGGGGUAGAAUUUCAGGUGUAGCGGUGAAAUGCGUAGAGAUCUGAAGGAAUACCGGUGGCGAAGGCGGCCCCCUGGACAGAUACUGACACUCAGAUGCGAAAGCGUGGGAGCAAACAGGAUUAGAUACCCUGGUAGUCCACGCCGUAAACGAUGUCUACUUGGAGGUUGUGGCCUUGAGCCGUGGCUUUCGGAGCUAACGCGUUAAGUAGACCGCCUGGGGAGUACGGUCGCAAGAUUAAAACUCAAAUGAAUUGACGGGGGCCCGCACAAGCGGUGGAGCAUGUGGUUUAAUUCGAUGCAACGCGAAGAACCUUACCUACUCUUGACAUCCAGAGAACUUUCCAGAGAUGGAUUGGUGCCUUCGGGAACUCUGAGACAGGUGCUGCAUGGCUGUCGUCAGCUCGUGUUGUGAAAUGUUGGGUUAAGUCCCGCAACGAGCGCAACCCUUAUCCUUGUUUGCCAGCACUUCGGGUGGGAACUCCAGGGAGACUGCCGGUGAUAAACCGGAGGAAGGUGG